GUCUUGGCGCUGAGAUGUCAAGUCUGGCCUGCCCACUGAUGAAUUAAAGGGCCGCGGUAUCAUGACCGUGCAAAGGUAGCAUAAUCACUAGUCUUUUAAUUGAAGGCUUGAAUGAACGGUCUUACGAAAAAUAAACUGUCUUCUAAUAAAAAGAUCUAAAUUAACUUUUAAGUAAAAAGGCUUAAAUACUCCAAAGUGACGAUAAGACCCUAUAAAACUUGAUAAGUAAACUUUUAAAAUGAAACUAGAUAAAUAAACAUUUUCAAAUGGUACUAUUUUAUUGGGGCGAUAAAAAUAUAAGCGUAACUGUUUCUUACAUACAAUGUAGAUAACCAUUAAAGACUGAUCCUUUUAUAAAGAUUAAAAGAUUAAGUUACUUUAGGGAUAACAGCGUAAUUUUCUUUGAGAGUUCAUAUCUACAAGAAAGAUUGCGACCUCGAUGUUGAAUUAAAAAAUCUUUAAGGUGCAGCAGCUUUGAAAGAAGGUCUGUUCGACCUUUAAAUUUUU
rnacentral:rRNA from 1 species